rnacentral:sRNA from 1 species
CUUCAUGGGGAUCGCCCUCCACCAGCGUGUUACGCCCGUGGGGGCGAUUGCG